rnacentral:rRNA from 1 species
GAUGAACGCUGGCGGCGUGCUUAACACAUGCAAGUCGAACGAAGCAUUUCGGUCUUAAUCUUCGGAAGCGGACUGAUCUGACUGAGUGGCGGACGGGUGAGUAACGCGUGGGUAACCUGCCCUGUACAGGGGGAUAACAGUUAGAAAUGACUGCUAACACCGCAUAAGCGCACAGAAAGGCAUCUUUCGGUGUGAAAAUAUUUAUAGGUACAGGAUGGGCCCGCGUCUGAUUAGCCAGUUGGCAGGGUAACGGCCUACCAAAGCAACGAUCAGUAGCCGGCUUGGGAGAGUGAACGGCCACAUUGGGACUGAGACACGGCCCAAACUCCUACGGAGGCAGCAGUGGGGAAUAUUGCACAAUGGGGGAAACCCUGAUGCAGCGACGCCGCGUGAGUGAAGAAGUAUUUCGGUAUGUAAAGCUCUAUCAGCAGGGAAGAAAAUGACGGUACCUGACUAAGAAGCCCCGGCUAACUACGUGCCAGCCGCCGCGGUAA